UCUGUGGCCAUACUACCCUGAAUGCACCCUAUCUCAUCUAAUCCCAGAAGCUAAACAGGUUUAGGCUUGGUUAGUACUUGGAUGGGAGAGGGUCAAGCCUAAAGUAUUACUAGAA
ensembl:rRNA 5S_rRNA 5S ribosomal RNA